ensembl:lncRNA
UUCCUUUCAGAUAAUGUAUAUAUUUACUCAGCUGUUACAUUAUCAGGAUCACAUGCUGUUUUCAUCAUUUUACUCUUUAACCUUGCAGAAUCCCGAAAGCCCUUCCUGUGCUCUUGCUGUCCUCGCCAGCCCGUGGCCUCCCCUACCGCACACGCAUUUGCAGAGUAUCUGCAUGUCCCAAACCCUCCACAUUUGCAUGCAGUGGCUUCCUGCAGGAUCUGGUACUCUGCCAAGAAAUUUUCCCGGCUGCACUGCAAAGUAAUGAUAUAAACAAAAAGAAUCAGUGACUGCCUCCGUGUAGUUUAUUUCUACACAGAAUCCAAGUCCUGUGUGCAUCCCUUACUAUCCUGAUGCAUGUGGCCCAGAACCAAGAACUCCGCAGUUUGAUGGAACUAUUUUACAACCUCCUUCAUAGUUUUCUCUUAAUCCUGAACUGAGAACAAGUGUCAAACGAUGGGGCCAGAUCUGCAGUCAGUAAAAACUGUGUUUCCACUGAACUCACUGGACUAAGCCCUGGUCCCUCAAUGAAGUCGGUGAGACUUCUGCCACUGACUCCAAUGGAGUCAGGAUUUUAUGCAAUAGAUUCACAGUGCCAACUCAGACCAAGUGUGGAUGCACCACAUGGCACAGCAAUGAGCCCGUUUUCAUUCCAGACAAAAAAAUGUAUCCAAGUUUGAUCCAGAGGAGGAGAUCCAAAGCUUGCCAGGAACCACAGAGAGUGAGUGGGUGAAAUUCCAGAAGAAAAGAGCAGUUCUUGAACCCUCACCCUGCUCUUACACCACUAUAGCUCAGGGAAUACUCCCUCAGAACUCAUUCUCCAUUUUCUACACUACUGCUCAGGAUCCUUGACGUAGGCAGUCGAGGUCACUGCCUGGGUUUCCAUGCAAUGGCCUUGCCAGGAUGCUUCACAUUUUUUUAGAAUGAACCAGGCAAACUCAACAUGAAAUGUAUGUACUGCUGCAUUACUCAUCCUUCACAAACCUCUCAAUUAAUUGGUGAGAAUGGAGUCACAUCAUAUUUAUUUUCCUGGAAUGAAGGGAAGAGGACCAGAUACCGAGACUGCGCUGUGACAGUUGGAGCUGAGGGCACACAUCUGCUGCUGCCAAACGUGACUACAAUCACACAGACUUUUGCCUUUGCUGGAGACAGGCAUGCAGAAAGGAAAAAAUGAUGCGCUGUGUCCUGAAUGAAUACCUAGUCAGAAGGAAAGGGCUUCUAGCAGCUUAUGCUGGCAUUCCCAAAGCAGCUUUAAACAACCCAGCUGAGCCAUGAACAGCCC